UACGGGGGGAGCAAGCGUUGUUCGGAUUUACUGGGCGUAAAGGGCGCGUAGGCGGUCGUGACAAGUCACUUGUGAAAUCUCCGGGCUUAACUCGGAACGGUCAAGUGAUACUGUCGGACUAGAGUACAGAAGGGGCAACUGGAAUUCUCGGUGUAGCGGUGAAAUGCGUAGAUAUCGAGAGGAACACCUGCGGCGAAGGCGGGUUG
rnacentral:rRNA from 1 species